GGGGCUAUGGCGAAGUUGGGAUCGCGUUCGACUGAAGGACUAUUAUCCCCUUCAGAUUAUCGGAAGAUCGCCGGUUCGAUCCCGGCUGGCCCCA
rnacentral:tRNA from 1 species